AACACCAUGUUGUGCUUGAGC
rnacentral:miRNA from 1 species